UCCUCCGUAGCUCAAUUGGUCAGAGCGUCUGACUGUUACGCUCGACGAUCGACGAUCCUUCGCAACGAAGCCAUCGUCAGUGCCUAGAUACCUAGCUAGCAAUCAGGAGGUUGACAGUUCAAUCCUGUCCGGGGGAG